rnacentral:lncRNA from 1 species
AAAGUGCAUUACGGCUUCGCAAGUCUCGGUGGCAGCGUAAGUUGACUGUAACAUACCAGAUUUUGGUAUAAAAAUAAAAAUAAAUAAAAAUAGUGUGAGAAGCUAUUUUUAUUGAAUUUAGAGAAGUAAAAUAUAAGUCAGAAGUGACUUGUGCUGAAAUCGGAAUGAAAACAGAAGAUUUAUAAUUUUAUGUUGGAAACGGGACAGGUAAAUUAGCAGAAAAUGCACAGUCUCAGAAAAUUAUGAAAAAUGAAGGAUAAGUCAGAAAUAUUUUUAUGAGGCUAGAUUUCAAGUUUCAUAUUUUUCUUACACCCGUAGAGUGAGAAAUAAAAUCCGACAGCUAUCUGAUAAAGAUUACAGUUCGGUACAGUUUUCAGUGACCAAAUGGGGUCGAAACUGAAAACUUAAAAUAUAUUCUUACUCAGUACGUAAAACCGAAUAUGACUGUCAAGUUUGAGCUCAAACGGACAUUCAGAGAGUUCCGGCGAAAGUUAUCAGAUUUCAAGCUGCUUGGAAGUGAAUAGUGUUGGGGUGUAAUUAAAAUAGAAGCUCUUGGCUUCUUCUUCCCCAACCAGCCGCACACACACACCCGCACGCCACACACACACGCAUGGAAAGAGGGAGAAAGAGAAACCUCCCAUUUUCUCUUUAAAUCUCUCCCAAAAUUGAUGAAUUUGGUGGAGAAGCAAGCUUGGAGGUUGAUCUUCAUCUCCUUUAUCUUCUUCUUCUCCAUUAAAGCAAGCUUUGAAGGUAAGCUUCAAAAUCCUUUAAUGGCAUUUCUCUCUAGUUUAGUUUUUAAGCUUUAAGAAUGGGUUUAGAGGUAUUCUAGCAUGCUAAUUAGAGGUUUGAUGCUUGAAACCAAGGCCCUAAUAGUGGGUUUUUACCUAAUAGUAAACCUAGGGCUCAAAAAUGCUAGUUUUGUAAAUAUGAGGGUUUGAUCUCAUUUGACCCUCCGUAAAUCUAAUUGCUAGGUAAACGAACGUGUUGGCGAAGACGGUUCGGCGAUUCGUUGAGCCGUUGCGAAGUUAUUAAAGAAACGGACGUUUAGGCUUCGUUUCUGCCUGGAGGGCCGAGGCGACAUCGUAAACCCAUGAAAUCGGAUUUGAAGCAUCGUGGCACACAACCGAAGACCUUUAAUUUUCGGAUCGUGAAUUGGAGGCCGUUCGGAUGGUCGCACGAGAGAUCGGGCCAAACCGGGUGCCGGGUGCCGCGGGAGGCCGAUUGCAAGUGUCGACAAGCAAUCGGAAUGCGAAAUGAGGUGGGUUGUGCUUACCGAAGCGACUAGGUCGCCUGUAUGUGUAAGAGAAAUGAGAUUUCAUAUUGAUGCAUAUUGACAUAAUGUAAGAAUGUGAAAAGAAUGCAUGUUAACAUACUAUAGAAAUACUAGAUAAAUGCAUAUGAUUAAUGCUUUGAAUGCAUAAUAUAAAGGGCGUAUGAAUGUUAGCAUUAUAAGAACAUCAUAAAAGGAAUCUAUGAUGACAUGUUGUAGAAUAUGCUGAAUGUAAUGCAUAAUGAAUUAAGUGCUAAAAGAAUGCAUGAGAUGCUAAGUAUGGACUAUUUUGGAUAAUGACUAUAUGUAUGUUGACAUAUCAUGUGAUGCUAGUGGUAUAUGUGCAUGAUGAUAUAUUAUGAAUUUACAUAUUGUGGAUUAUGUUAAAUAGAAAAACAUACUUGAUGACAUAUUGCCAUGUGGUGGAACAUAGUGGACAAUCUACAUAUAUAUUAGAUCGAGUGGCAUUAAACCUUGUAUCUUGAACCUAGCAAACACUUGUGGUGAUUGAGCAUGUAUAUUCUGGUGUCAUUCAUGUAUGUUAGGACCCUAUUAUUGUGUGAAUGUGAGAGUCGGACUUGGACAAUAGUAAACAAGGGUGACAAUGAAAAUAGAGACAUGAUUGGCAUCAAGAAAGUGGUUGUUAAAUAUAGUUUAACCAUAUUGACAUUGGUCCAAGUUGACAUAGAGAGUGGCAUGAUUAAAUAGGUAGAGACCUAUCAUGACAUUGGCAUUGUGACGAGUGGCUAUGAAUCCUCAAGUUGAGGAUUGGAUCGAUACUCACGUUACGUCUUGGCUUGAGGGAGGUAGCUCCCCCUCGGGCGGUGCGCUCCGGAGUUGGUCACCACUGGGCGUGGUAAAGUCCCCCCAGAUGACGGUCCCCAGGGAGGUUCGAGUCCCCCGUUAUUAAGGGAUUUUGGUAGUGAGUUAUUGGGGUUAACAUGGUUAACCGGUAAGAUUGGGUCAUAGCCAAAUGAGUGUACAACAAGUAUGCAUUAUGAGUUAUGGAUUUGGUAUCCUAGUCGAGAGGAUCUAGGGCUGAGGUGUAUGUGAGACGUCCAUCGCCUCGAGCCUGGUUCUAGUGCGGUACUCCGCAGACGAUUGACUCAAGACCGAGUCGGGUGGUUAGCCUUGUAAAGGUAGAUGAAACUUUAUGAUUAAAACGGUGAUUGACAAGAAUCUAAGAUAGAGGAAACCUUAGAUAUCAAAUGGAUGAGCUAUGGUUAGCAGAAUUGAAAGUAGUAUCGAAUGAACUACUAGUUGGUUGCAUAGUUGCAUUAUUGCAUGAUUUGCAUAUAGCAUUGCAUUAUUGCAUUCGUGAGGCAAUGCAUGGUUUUAUUCGUUGCAUAAUCAAGAUAUAUAUCUAUCUGUUUAUUGAACUAACUUGCAGUUGCCUCCCUUGGACCUAUUGGUCGAGCUUUUCCCUUGGGUGGCCGUACCCACUGGGAACCAUGGAGUUGGUUCUCACCCCACGUGGUUUUGGGGUGUUAUAGGUUCACACGUGAGCGGCGCCGCGCCGCGAGGCGAGGGCGUAGCUCCAUAGUUAGCGUCCUACCACCGAGACCAGAGAUAGUAGUACCCUGAGCCGGCUUUACUUAGGGAUGUAAGAAAAUGAAAGGAAUAAGAUUGUAAUAAUUUGUAAUAAAAGCAUGAUUGUAUUUGGAAGUUAAAUGUAUAAUGAAAUUGUGAUGUAAAUGUAUCUAAAUAAUGUGAAUGCUUGUAAUAGCAAGUAGGUUAUACUUCCUUAUGCAAUCUUUGAUUGAAAUGUGUUCCUGAUUGGAACUUCGUACAUUAUAUUGAUUGCGACGCUUUGAAUGUACAGGGGAGACUCUGUCCGCGGUACAGAAAAAAUCCUGUCCGUUCGGCGGUCUGUCGGCGUGCCCGAAACCAACCAAAUAGGCGGGCUCGGGGCGUGACAGAUAAGAUGGUAUCAGAGCAUAAAAAGAAACAUAAAAAGAAUAAUAGAAAAUGGUUUAGUUGGAACUAGGAGACCCUAGGAUAGCAAACCAUAGGAGAUUAAGGCUCGUGAGAGACAAGAACUUGUGACAAUUGGCGAAAGAUAAAUUGAUUGGGUUGUGUCGUAAACCUCUAAAAUGGAUGUUAGAGAUAGAUUCAAGGUGUGGUUUAUUCUCAACCGAUGGUGUUCGUGUUGGGCGCGCACAACACGAAACCGAGUGAUGAGAAUAGACGUCCUUGCGUGGCUUUCGCCCGAUUUGAGUCGGUAUUAGGUGUCUCGUGUUCGACCUAGAGGGUCGAGGAUUAAUAAAGUUGUCGUGUUUUAGGAAGCGAUAGCACCGCGUAGGCGAUCUUCAUUUAGAUCGGCGCGGGAUGGGCCGAGUGGUGUCCCUGGGCAAUUUGAGGCGAGCGGAGAUUGGGAACUUCGCGAGUGUUGGCGUCUCUCAUGAUCUUUGAGAAAUUAACGGAAUCCUCGCCGUGUUAGAUCACUUUUGGUCAGAUUGACCCAAGUGCGUCGAGAGAAGUAGUUGGACAAAGUCCAAUUGACAUUCCAACAAUGUUGGAAGGGUUAAAAUUGAGUUCUAAAAGAGUUAGAAAGGUUUUAGCGUUGCUCGGCGUGAAUUGGAGUCGAAGCGGUGCAAAAUCGAAAUUCUGGAACAUGUGUUACCGAUUUAACCCCAGGGGUGUACCAGUAUAGUAUGGUUGUAACGAAGUAAAUUCUCAAGAGUCGAGAGUUGGACUUCGACCAGGAUCAGCUAGUUGUCGAGUGGGUAUGUAAUAUACCGAAACUUCGAUAACCAAGCAUCGAACUUUAGUCAAAUUGGCCAAAGUGCGAGGUUGGUACACUUCGGAAAGGCCGAAGGCGUCAAAUAAUGCAAAAGUGCAUUACUGGGGAUCUUCGAGAGCUUUGUAAAUCAAAAUCUGCAAGACUGCAGGUUUUGUGCUCUCGGGGACCGGUCCCAGGUCGGGAAGACCGGUCCCCGAACGCGCAGGCAGCAAGAGGAGAGAAAAAUCGGCUAUGUUCCCGGUGGACAGCUCUCGGGAACCGGUCCCUGCGGGUAGAGACCGGUCCCCAAGAGACCGGUCCCAUCAGGGGAGACCGGUUGCCUCGUGCGUAGGUUGCGCAGACCGCGGGAGAAGCUCUCGGGGACCGGUCCCAGGCAGGGAGAGACCGGUCCCUCAGCACGAAAAUUGCCCAGUUUGGGCAGUGCACUGGAUAGAAAGUGGGAGGGCCUAUUUGCAAAUAUUGCAACAUGUUAUGUGCCUUAUCCCUCUCUCUCCCACAGCGGUGUGAGCUACGAGAGGGCGUUGAGGACAAUGCAACCUAAAGGUUCGCGGCGAGCGCCGGGUGGUCGUAGAUACACGACCCUGGUUGAGGAACCUGCUGCUGACGACGUCGUUGCAGGUAUGAGUUAUUGAUGCAAGCAUAUGUUUUGCAAGAUCUGAAGUUGAUGCAUUGCAUGCAAUGGUUAUGUGGUUAAUCACUAUUGUCAUGCAUGAGCAUAGUAGAGACCGAGUGGAUGGGUAAAUAUAGAUAUUCGGGCAUGCUCGUGUUGUAAGGGCGCAGUAUCUGCCAGUACAGGUAUAGAGCCAGAUGGCAUUAGCGAAGUGCUAGAAGUAAUUUAUGGCGAGAAGUGAGACUCGCGGUAGAGAUAGAAGUGGCGAAAUGACUCUCAGAGCAAUAUGAGUUGUAAAUUGCGAGAGUUGAGCCAUGAUGCUUAUGAGAACACCCGAGUGGCUCGAAAAUUUCGGAUGUCAUUCCGGUAGAUCGAACAGUGAAAGUAACAUCACUGUUGAGAGAAAAGCCGAUUAGUGGCCAAGUUUGAGCACGUGGGCCUAGUAGUACCUCAAGGUGAGGUAGGCAGUUGUGCUCGUGCAGCCGGUGUGCAUAGGCAAGAUUGCCUAAUGCUGGACUUCGUGUGGAACGCUGUAGAGGCGUAGAGCGCUCGAGUGUAGAAACCCGUAGAGUGCGGAUGUGGAUUCAGCCGAGAAAGUGUAUUGGCAGUAGCACUUGAGCAUUGCUAGGUGUGAAGCGUGUCAUGGAUCACUCGUGGGACUGGUGACUCGCAUUAGGUGCAUAGUAGCCGGUAGUGAUACGUGUACUCGGUAGAGCAUGUCGUGUAGGACGACGACGGCGGGUAGUGCUUAGGGACGACCCGUGCAUGGAACAUUUGUGGACUGUAGAGCCUGGGCCCUUUGGGCAGGCGCAGUCAGCUGUGAGUGACAGCGGCCCGGUACCUACGGGUAGGGCAGAGUUCUGAUCAGGACGGUAGUCCGAGUUUAGGCCCGGGAGCGUGGAAUGCCACGCGAUAGAUUGUGUGACCGAUGGUACACCGAGUAUGGUUGUGACCCAACCCGAGCACUUGACGUGGUUUGGGAUCUUAGUUGCUCCUGAUUGGAGUGUGUGCGAAUUUCCAAGUGAGAAUUUCGCCCGAUCAUGAUUGGGUCUGCAUUUGCGAGCGAGAGACGCUGCAUAUUGAGACGGGUUUAGGUGGUAGGCCUACAUAGGAUUGGUGGCCUUUGGUCCACCCGUGGAGACCGACGAGAGCGAUUUGGCAUAUAUCCUUAUCGAGGAGUUUGACUCGAAUUCACGAACGGAGUGCUUGCGUGAGCUCGUUGCGAAAAUAGUUUGAUGUUCAUCGUGGCAUGUGGUAUCAGAUGAUGAAGUACUCAUUGUGAGACAUCAAAUGAGUAGAAAGCCACGUGAUGUUGGAGAUUAUGGUCGUAAGGGAACUAAGACUUGAGAGGUGCCGAAUUGGGCCAUCUCACGUUAAAGUUAAGGGUCAGUGCGAAAUUAGAGCACUCAUAAUGGAGCGAUGCAUCGGUGAUAUUGCUUUUAAGCAAUGUCGGUGAUCGAAUCAGAACGUAUUCCCUGAAGGGAAGGUAAGUGCAAAGAAGAGUUCCUUGUGUACCGAAUGGCGAGUGGUGUUGGAGCGCGUAGAGUCGUCGAGUAUCGACUUGCGCUGCCACUAUGACUUGCAAGACCCGUGUUGUACUUUUGUAUCACACUUUGUAAAUGUGUUCAGGAUUAAAUCCACGUCCUUCAGUAUGAGCCGGUUCUGGAACAACGACUGUGUGAAGCCGCUUUGGAGUGGGAGAAUGAGUUGGUACUCACGGAGCUGAAUUGAGGCGUGGUUUGAAUUUCGCGGACGAAAUUCUUUUAAGGGGUGGAGAAUGUAACAUGCCAGAUUUUGGUAUAAAAAUAAAAAUAAAUAAAAAUAGUGUGAUAAACUAUUUUUAUUGAAUUUAGAGAAGUAAAACAUAAGUCAGAAGUGACUUGUGCUGAAAUCGGAAUGAAAACAGAAGAUUUAGAAUUUUAUGUUGGAAACGGGACAGGUAAAUUAGCAGAAAAUGCACAGUCUCAGAAAAUUAUGAAAAUUGGAGGAUAAGUCAAAAAUAUUUUUAUGAGGCUAGAUUUCAAGUUUCAUAUUUUUCUGACACCCGUAGAGUGAGAAAUAAAAUCCGACAGCUAUCUGAUAAAGAUUACAGUUCGGUACAGUUUUCAGUGGCCAAAUGGGGUCGAAACUGAAAACUUAAAAUAUAUUCUUACUCAGUACGUAAAACCAAAUAUGACUGUCAAGUUUGAGCUCAAACGGACAUUCAGGGAGUUCCGGCGAAAGUUAUCAGAUUUCAAGCUGCUUGGAAGUGAAUAGUGUUGGGGUGUAAUUAAA